UGGGGAAUUUUGCACAAUGGACGCAAGUCUGAUGCAGCGACGCCGCGUGAGGGAUGGAGGCCUUCGGGUUGUGAACCUCUUUCGCUCAUGGUCAAGCCGCACGUGUGCGUGUGGUGAGGGUAGUGGGUAAAGAAGCGCCGGCUAACUACGUGCCAGCAGCCGCGGUAAUACGUAGGGCGCGAGCGUUGUCCGGAAUUAUUGGGCGUAAAGGGCUUGUAGGCGGUUGGUUGCGUCUGCCGUGAAAUCCUCUGGCUUAACUGGGGGCGUGCGGUGGGUACGGGCUGGCUUGAGUGCGGUAGGGGAGACUGGAAUUCCUGGUGUAGCGGUGGAAUGCGCAGAUAUCAGGAGGAACACCGGUGGCGAAGGCGGGUCUCUGGGCCGUUACUGACGCUGAGGAGCGAAAGCGUGGGGAGCGAACAGG
rnacentral:rRNA from 1 species